rnacentral:rRNA from 1 species
GGCUUAUAAUUGAAGUCUUGUAUGAACGAAUUAAUGGGUAAUAACUGUCUGUUAAAGUUUAAUAGAAAUUAUUUAGCAAGUGAAAAUACUUGUAGAUAACUAAUAGACGAGAAGACCCUAGAAAUUUUAUAUAAUAUAGUGUGUUUAUUAUUAUUUUGUUGGGGCGACAGAAUAACAAAUAACUUAUUUUAUUUGAUUAGCACUAUUUAAUGAGAAAAAUUAAAUUACUCUAGGGAUAACAGCAUAAUUUUUAUAAGUUUGUGACCUCGAUGUUGGACUAGGGAUUUUAGUGUUUAGAAGACACUAAAACAAGCUCUGU